GAAAUGCGAUAAGUAAUGUGAAUUGCAGAAUUCAGUGAAUCAUCGAAUCUUUGAACGCACCUUGCGCUCCUUGGUAUUCCAUGGAGCAUGCCUGUUUGAGUAUCAUGAAAUCUUCAAAGUAAAUCUUUUGUUAACUCAAUUGGUUUCUACUUUGGUAUUGGAGGUCUUUGCAGCUUCACACCUGCUCCUCUUUGUUCAUUAGCUGGAUCUCAGUGUUAUGCUUGGUUCCACUCGGCGUGAUAAGUUAUCUAUCGCUGAGGACACUGUAAAAGGUGGCCAAGGUAAAUGCAGAUGAACCGCUUCUAAUAGUCCAUUGACUUGGACAAUACUUUUAUGAUCUGAUCUCAAAUCAGGUAGGACUACCCGCUGAACUUAAGC
rnacentral:misc_RNA from 1 species